rnacentral:lncRNA from 1 species
CUGCUGGGUCACACUUCUCUUUAAAGAGUGGAGAAACAUAAUCUCUCGAAGAAAUGCACAGCUAUUACUUUUCAGUCAAGCCGGCUCCACUGCUUCUGAUGCAGCAUGUUUUCAUAGCCCCAUCCUCAGAACAGAAGAUACUUCUAAUAUCCAAGAUUGCCACUACUGGCUCUUGUGACACUGUCAUAUGAUGGAGGCAAGGAUGCUGAGGAUGAAGUUUGAGAUUCAUCAAGAUUCCUGCCAUAGUUUUCACCCAUCAUAGAAGCUAUGAGUCCUUCUCUUUCCGGAGCAGCAUCUCCAAGAGUGUCACCACUGUUGACACAUUUCCCAAACUUCCCAGCAAACAGGUUGACUCCCAUGAUGCUAAAGAUGAGCCAGAAGAUGAGGCAGACAAGCAGAACAUUCAUGAUGGAAGGGAUGGCUCCCACAAGGGCAUUGACCACCACCUUGCAUGAAAUGGGAGAGAAAAAUUGCAGUUAGUUAAACAAAGAUGGACUCAAAUAUCUGCUCAGUGCAAUCAGAUGUUGUAAAAAACUAAGCUGUCAGUUAGUUUUGCAGCAAUCAGAAAUCUUAUGUUUUCCAUGUAAAUAUUUGUUACAGUUGAUGUGGGUACCUUGAGAAAAGAUUCAGAGAUGCAUAAUCUUAUUCUCUCAAUGGAAGGGUUAGAAUGUUUCAUUUUCCUGUGACCCCUCACUACAUACAUAGACUACAAUGUGAGUCCAUCCUCUUUUGAUGACUUUCCCUUGGUUUUGUUGUGUUUUGCUUUCUUUAUAACUUUUUAUAACAGAAGAUUUAUGAAUUAUUCUCCCAUAAGAAUUAAUGCAAAUAACUGUAUUGUUCGUGCUGUGGAAAGUAGUAUUUCAAAAGGAUUGGUAAUGACUCUCCACUAGCAUUUUGUUAGACCUAUUUUUUUAAUGCGUCAUCAUUACACUUGGGGUCCACAGCUGUGAUCUAGGAUCUGAUUUGUGCUGUAGGAUCCCAGAAGUAAUUUUUGAGUAUACACUAAGACAUAACAUUUUGCUUGACAAAAUAAGCCAGUGCAAAGUAAUACAAACACAUCCAAGUAACACAGCCAGUGAACUUAGCAUUUAGAUAGCAAUCUGGUGGGCCAAAAUGAAUAUGAAAAAGCACUGUGAAGAUUUUUGGAAGCCUUGUCAAAAGCAUUCUGCGUAGCAAGAUGGAAACUAUGAUGGAACCUGGUUCAAGAUUGACUUCAGACAUGGAAAGUUUGGUGCUAUAUUAACAAAAUACAUUAAUUUCUCUGCAUCUUCAGUGACAAAAUUGCAGAGAACUUGCAGUUUCACUUCCAAAUGAUAUCCAAACACAAUUUAUAUUUCAGUUGCAUUGAGGUUGCAUUCCCACGUUAACUUGUAAUGGUGAUACCGUGCACAUUUAUGUUAUCUGUGGUGACAAAUCUGAGUGUAUUCCCUAGACCAGAGUUGAGUCCAAACACUGCUGUGGUCACCACUGCUCAUUCACAUGAUAGUAUGUAGAAGUUUUGCAUAUGACUGAUUUCCUCUUCAUUUGUGCAGUUAUAGAUUUCUAAUCAGUCACAUUCAACAGCUUCAUGCUGUUCCUAGCACUCCUCUGAUGGAAAAAGGCAGAAAACCUUCUACAGAAAAUCAGACCUACUUUUUGUAAGAAUAAUUAUAUAGGGAAAAAAAUAGCUUGGGUAAAGUAUGCCUGAGCAGCCUAAAGAUUUUGUAAACCAAUUCAGUAAAAACUUGUAGAGCAGAGAUGAUCCUUUCCUCUGAAUUAGCUUUUCACGAGCAUUUAAGAAUGAAAAUUGCUAACUCCAGAUUCUUUUCCUCUACUUUGUUUUGGGUUUUGUCAGUAAGACAGAAACACAGAAUGUCUGAGCAGCAAAGGAGUAAAGUUCUUCCUGGUCUCAUUUUAAUUUCAACAGCAUUUGAGAUUGAUCACUUGAGUGAAGUCUGUAAGGAGCAGCCAAGUGUAGAGGAGAUCAGCAAAGGUGCUCCCAAAAAUUAAUUUCAUAAAUCCCAAACUUAGCUUGGUGCAGACAUCUGAACUCACAAAUACACAGCCAAGUGUUACGAUACCAUUACAUGCUUAUUACAACCAACAGGCUUUAAUUUGUAUUCAGACUUACCCUCAUCCCCUCAAAUCUUGACAGUGCUCUUAAGGGUCUCAGAGCUCGAAGAGUCCUAAGAGAUUUCACACCGUCAAGUGAACUACCUAAGAUAUUUAUCAAAGAGACCUGGAUGGGGAGACCAAACAAAGUAUUAGCAACAUCUUGGCACCUGUUUCUUUUAUUCCUACUGAAAAUAAAUAAAUAAGUAAAAUAAAAUAAAAUAACAUCAGUGCCUAGAGUACGAUAUCCUGAUGUAGUCAUUAAUGGAAUCAAGAGUGUUUUCUUGAUUUUAUGGUCAGAAAGGAACUGGUGAUUGUGCUGCUAAGUCUUGCAUCAGGAUCUGCGUAGAAUCACAGAACCAUAGAGUGGCUUGGGUUGGAAGGGACCUUAUAAUGCAUCCAAUCCUGACCCUCUGCAGUAGGCUGGUUGCCACCCAUCAGAUCAAGCUGUCCAGGGCCCCAUCCAGACUGGUCUUGAGUGUCUCCAGGGAUGGGGGCAUACAGGUGUAGAAAUGCUGGAUGCACAACUUACACCUACAAUGAGGAAAUCAAGCCAGCACCAGGCAUUGGUGAAAUACUUAUUGAAGCCAUAAGCCACCCACUUCAGGAUCAUCUCCAGAAAGAAGACAAAAGUGAACAAUCUGUCGAGGAACGACAAUAUAGCUUUGAUAGUUCGUCUCUCAUUUAUAUGAAUGUCUUCAAAUGCCUGAAAUCAAGAUAUACAAAUAAAUUGCAAAGUCAGAGAUAAGCUUAAAACAUGAAAGUCUAGAAACAAAAAGGCCUCUUCAUCAUUCAAUACAUAAUUUACACAGAUGUGAACCUCAUCUUUUACUCAAAUGUAUGCCAGCUGGCAAACUUGUAAUUCUUCCUGUCCUUUCUCUUUCUUUUUGCUUACAAUAUACACACUCAUGGGCACAUAC